rnacentral:rRNA from 1 species
UGGGGAAUAUUGCACAAUGGGCGAAAGCCUGAUGCAGCGACGCCGCGUGAGGGAUGACGGCCCUCGGGUUGUAAACCUCUUUCGGCAGGGACGAAGCGAAAGUGACGGUACCUGCAGAAGAAGUCCCGGCUAACUACGUGCCAGCAGCCGCGGUAAGACGUGGGGGACGAGCGUUGUCCGGAUUCAUUGGGCGUAAAGAGCGCGUAGGCGGCUACGCAAGUCGGUUGUGAAAACCCGGGGCUCAACCCCGGGCCUGCAUCCGAUACUGCGUGGCUAGAGGUAGGUAGGGGAGAUCGGAAUUCCUGGUGUAGCGGUGAAAUGCGCAGAUAUCAGGAGGAACACCGGUGGCGAAGGCGGAUCUCUGGGCCUUACCUGACGCUGAGGCGCGAAAGCUAGGGGAGCGAACAG